rnacentral:rRNA from 1 species
UGGGGGAAAUCUUGGACGAUGGGGGCAACCCUGAUCCAGCAAUGCCGCGUGGGUGAAGAAGGCCUUCGGGUUGUAAAGCCCUUUCGGCAGGGAAGAAAUCGGCGGGGCGAAUAACCCUGCUGGAUGACGGUACCUGCAGAAGAAGCACCGGCUAACUACGUGCCAGCAGCCGCGGUAAUACGUAGGGUGCGAGCGUUAAUCGGAUUUACUGGGCGUAAAGCGUGCGCAGGCGGCCCGUUAAGACAGGUGUGAAAUCCCUGGGCUCAACCUAGGAAUUGCGCUUGUGACUGGCGGGCUCGAGUACGGUAGAGGGGGGUGGAAUUCCUGGUGUAGCAGUGAAAUGCGUAGAGAUCAGGAGGAACACCGAUGGCGAAGGCAGCCCCCUGGGCCUGUACUGACGCUCAUGCACGAAAGCGUGGGGAGCAAACAGGAUUAGAUACCCUGGUAGUCCACGCCCUAAACGAUGGGUACUAGCCGUUUGGUGCGCGAUAGCGCUGAGUGGCGAAGCUAACGCGUGAAGUACCCCGCCUGGGGAGUACGGCCGCAAGGUUG